CCUUCGAUAGCUCAGUUGGUAGAGCGGAGGACUGUAGGGCAGUGCUGUUGACAUCCUUAGGUCGCUGGUUCAACUCCGGCUCGAAGGA
rnacentral:tRNA from 1 species